rnacentral:rRNA from 1 species
AUGGCAUACACACCAUCCAAAAUCUCUCCCACAAGACACUCCAGUCUUAAUAACGGUUACCGUUUUUUGAGUUGCCUUAAUAAAGGUAACUGGCAUCACCACGCGUAUAUAUACAUGCAAUACAUAACCAAGAUCCACCAACUAUCAAAAAUGGCAUCCAAACAUGUCCUCCUCUCGGCUCUAGUCCUGCUCUCCAUCCUCGCCGCCGCGGUAGCCACCAUCGCCUGCAGGCCAGGGGUGGGCAUCCCGCCCAAGCCACUCCCAAGCUGCCGCGCGUACGUGGUCCAGAAGACCUGCAAAGACACCCAACAGACCACUCCGGGAAAAGUGGCCUCCAAGGAUCCGUGCUGUCGGGAGCUGGAAGCCGUCUCGGAAGAAUGCCGAUGCACCGCGAUGGAGGACUUCAUGCAAGGGAUGCUCCGCUUGGAGGGCGUUCCUGAGGGGUGCACUAGAAAGGACCUGUGGGAGUUCACCUUGUCUCUCGUCAAGCCGGAGCUGUGUAACCUGAAGACCAUCACCGGCGGGCCGUACUGCGGCCUCCCUCCUAGCAACGAUGCUCGUCUUGCCGACAGUGUACAAGAUGUGUAA